UAGCAAGGUUACACAUGUACUGUUUUAAUUUUUUUUUUUAAUACACAGCAACAGACCCAGUGUAUUCCCACAAAGUGAGGUCUGGGGAGGGUAAAAUGUAUGCAGUCCAUACCGCUACCUCCGAAGAAGUAGAGAGGCUGUUUUCGAUAGACCCCCGGCUCAAGAAUGAGAAUAGUAUACCAAGGCCGUAAUGAAACAUGAGACAUGAUGGAUAACAUAACAGAGAUAAGAGAUAAGAAAUAAUAACAAUAAAUAUCAGAGAAAUCUGAAAUAAGGGAAAAUACGAGCAAUUCAAAAUAAAAAUAAGAAAACGGAUACUCACCUAGUAGUGACAUACUCUCACAAUACCUAAGACACCCACCACACCCAAACUCUUCUAACCCCUAGCCACAACCCAUACACUCACACUAGACUUCUACCCUAAUCCGCGACCUCCACACCUUCCUGUUUAGGGUCAUGUCCUCAGUAAGCUUAAGCUGCUCCAUGUCAAAAAUGAAAAAGAAAAAGGGAGACAUGUUCUGAAACAUGGUGUCAGUUGAUGGAAGUUUGUAAUGUUGAAUUAUAUUAUUAUAUUAUUAUUACUACUUUGAGGAUAUACUAUGCUGAAGUUGCAUAUAGCUUGUCUCUUCAUGUCUGUGUAUCCAAUUUUUAGAGGUCUCUGCAUGACUUGUUUUUGUUGCUUAACAUGUCUAUGUUUUCUUCAUCAUAUCCAUGUUUUCUUCAUUUUCCUGUACUAUCAUGUAUUAAUGAGACAAUGCCUACUAAAAAAGAUCAUGACGCCCUAGUAUACUUUCCGAAUUUUUGAAGCUUUGCGUCUAAAUAUGGGAGAACAUGAAGUUGCCGGUAUUUAAGUGGAGAAGGAUAGAGGGGCAGUCCCAUCCUCCGUUUGUUUAGAAGACUACGGUUGGUCCCAUAUGGAUUUCUUGGUCAUAAAAUAAAUUGUCUAUGAAACUUUAUUGUAACUCUUUUCUUGAAACUUUUGCUAUUUCUCAGGAUUUAUGAUUGCAGAAUGGCUUGGCUAUUUUGUUCCAUCGUAUGUAUCACUAAUAUCAUCCUUUGUUAUUACUCAUCAUAUUGCAUGAUUUCUGUGGUUGCAGAAGACAUUCUCAUUUGCAGUGAGGGAUUCGCUGAUCAAUGUUGGCCCUCUAAAAGAUUUCUCUUAUGGUAUGAGAAUUAAUGCUGACCUGACUGCUGCUGGAAUCGCUAAGCAAAGUAAUUAUGAACUGGUUAGUUCUCUUGUUGACAGCACACCUAACUUGAAUGCAGUUAAUGGUGGAGGUUUAACUUGUUUUUUCUUUGCUUGGAGAUAUGCACUUACAAAUGUUCUGCUAAACACUAAAAUAUCCUACCAUCUUGUUGUCUCUCUACCAUUUUGUAUUACUAGCGGAAAUCCGUCUUAAAUGUAAUGUUGAAUGAUCAGAAAACCAGCAUAAACUUAAGCAUUUGGUGGUAUUCAUGAAUUGCGUUUUCAUAGGGGAAAAUAUUGACUUCUUGUGGGUUUGAACAAAAUUUUGAAAAAUCUCUGUUUAUAAGCUAGGAUUACUUUUUGUUUAAAAGUAAUAAUUUCAUUGAUGGCAAGAGUGUUAGAUCUUGAUGGCAUGAUUGACCAUCUCUAUUCAUUGUAGAACUUAUAAUGCUCGUAAACUUUCUGAUGUGCUGUUAACCAGCACUUUCCUGGCAUACAUUAAUAAGCUUUUAUCUUACCUUUUAAUUUAAGAGAUUGGGAGAAAACCUAGAUAUACAUUAGUUAGUCAAGUAGUAGUUACAAGAUUGUAGGAGGUUUUACAUUAGUAAGUUGUGUAUAAGAAGUGCUAGAACCUUACAAAACAUGAUUCUCCACAAAAUACCCAAUCAUCAGUACUCCCUGGAAUCAUGUGGAUGCUCAAAAAUUGACUCAAACCAGGAAAUAUGACCUGAUAUGUACAAGUUUAUUCUCAACCUUCUCAAGAGAUCUCUUGUUUCUCUCGUCACAAAGGAUCCAAAUCCGUGCCAAAGGAACGUUCUCACAUGCUUUCUUUCUGUUUCUCCUACUUUUCCAUUUGAUGAUCCUGCUGGUCAGGAUAUCGUUCACUAUCCCCAGCGUAAGGUUUGAAACUGUUUUGAAACUGUUCACCAUUAGUGGUUUGCUGCUUGAUGAUGGAUCAGUAGUCAUGUUAUCUCCCGACUUUCUUACACAUGUUGGUCCAAGUAUGUGCAGACUUUGCCUCUUCUUGAGAUAACCUAUUGCGUGGAUAUAUGCUAACUUCCAGCCACAUGAAGAAACACAUGUCUGUUGGAGCUUUGGUUAUCCAAGUUGUGAUAUGCGGGAGCAAUUCCCCUUCUUUCACAAGGAGCCUCAAAUAAAAAGAUAUCAUGGAAAAAACUCCUCUGAUAUGCCUGUUCCACCUCUAAGUGCACUUUAGGGAGGAUUUAUAUCUAUGUCAUCCCUCAAUUAAUAAACAACUCUACCCUGAAUAUAUAUUUGAUAAGUUUUGGUAAUGAUAUUUGGAAGAAAAUUAUGAUGAGAUUAAUGUUGUUCAUUCCUCUAGAGCUCUUGGAUAACAACUGAUCGAUCCUUGUUUAUUUUUGAUCAAUUAAGUGAACAACUGAUACUGGGUUUGUUGUUGUUGUUGUUGUUGAAGUGAACAACUGAUCCUUGGUUGCUGUUAUCUUUCUUCACACAGUAGACUUACACAUUUGCUUUCAUGUUGUGACAUGUAAAAGAGGAUUUUAAGAAUUAUAUGUAAAAUGUUUCUGUCUGAUUCAAAUAGAACAACAGAAUCAAGUUGUGCUCACAAUGCUCACAGUUGUGCUAAGCGCGCAGAACAUGAUGUGUGGAUCGGACGCACUUCACAGGUUUAGAUCUUGCCGCAACCAAAAGCCUUGUAUCUAAGUGGAGAAAGGUAGAGGGAUGGACCCAUUAUCCACCGAGUUCUGAUCCUUGGGCCCCUGUCCUCAGGGAUUUUCUCAGUUAUAAAAGAAUGAGAAAUAGAAAUUGAAAUUAUCUUGUGGUAAUAGAUUUUAGGUUUUGGAACUCAUAACAGUUGAUAAUUGUUUUUUUUUUGUUGAAGUCCUUUUGCUGGAGUUCGUGGAACAAUCAAAUGUCCAGAAUACAACAACAACAACAACAACAAACCCAGUGUAUUCCCACCUAGUGGGGUCUGGGGGGAGUAAGAUGUACGUAGUCCAUACUUCUACCUCUGAUGAAGUAGAAAGGCUGUUUCCGAAAGACCCCCGGCUCAAGGCACGAGAUACCACACAAACACAUAGUAAAGCAGAUUAGCAGAUAGAAGCAGAUUACAUAACAUAAAUACGGCACCCAUAAGUAAUAUAAAACAGAGGAAAGCAGUGGAAAGCACACAGAUUUGUAAUAAAACAUGGAACACGGAACACGGAAUCAUAACAGGAAUAAAACCCCCACCAAGUAAUCCCUACACUAGCGACCCAAACUGGCCCUAAUCCUCUGCCGUAAUUCGCGUCUUCCAUACCUUCCUAUCUAGGGUCAUGUCCUCGGUG
rnacentral:lncRNA from 1 species